rnacentral:rRNA from 1 species
GAGUUUGAUCAUGGCUCAGAACGAACGCUGGCGGCGUGGAUAAGACAUGCAAGUCGAACGGGAGAAUUGCUAGCUUGCUAAUAAUUCUCUAGUGGCGCACGGGUGAGUAACACGUGAGUAACCUGCCCCCGAGAGCGGGAUAGCCCUGGGAAACUGGGAUUAAUACCGCAUAGUAUCGAAAGAUUAAAGCAGCAAUGCGCUUGGGGAUGGGCUCGCGGCCUAUUAGUUAGUUGGUGAGGUAACGGCUCACCAAGGCGAUGACGGGUAGCCGGUCUGAGAGGAUGUCCGGCCACACUGGAACUGAGACACGGUCCAGACACCUACGGGUGGCAGCAGUCGAGAAUCAUUCACAAUGGGGGAAACCCUGAUGGUGCGACGCCGCGUGGGGAUGAAGGUCUUCGGAUUGUAAACCCCUGUCAUGUGGGAGCGAAAUUAAAAAGAUAGUACCACAAGAGGAAGAGACGGCUAACUCUGUGCCAGCAGCAGCCGCGGUAAC